rnacentral:rRNA from 1 species
CACGUAGGGGGCGAGCGUUGUCCGGAUUUAUUGGGCGUAAAGAGCUCGUAGGCGGCUCGGUAAGUCGGGUGUGAAACCUCCAGGCUCAACCUGGAGACGCCACCUGAUACUGCUGUGGCUAGAGUCCGGUAGGGGAGUGUGGAACUCCUGGUGUAGCGGUGAAAUGCGCAGAUAUCAGGAAGAACACCAGCGGCGAAGGCGGCACCCUGGGCCGGAACUGACGCUGAGGAGCGAAAGCGUGGGUAGCAAACAGG